rnacentral:tRNA from 1 species
GGCGGCGUAGCUCAGUUGGCCAGAGCAGAGGAUUCAUAAGCCUCGGGUCGUCGGUUCGAGUCCGACCGCCGCUACCA